UUAAAUUGGGCCACGAAAGUAGCCCAACAAAACAAUAACAACAAACAGCCCAUGCCACGGCUGACCCGCCUCGGGCGCAACAACACUCUAGCUCUCAAUCACUCUAAUCAACCGAACCAGCAGCCCAAAAUCCCAAGACCCGUCCCGUUGUUUAUAUUCUUCAACUUCAAUGAACAACAGCAACUUCAUACGCGUACAACACUAAAAAGCAACAACAACAGCGAACAGCUUCAAUAUCGAUGAUAACUACUACAACAACUUCAGCCAUACUUCGACCCGCAAUCGACCCGACCUCAACCCAUUUCUCGUAUGUAUCAUGUACCCUCCCACGCGGAUCUGUACAAUGAAGAUGCUGAGAAGCUUGUAGAAAUUGCUUAGCUGGCUCUUCUAACAUUCAAAUCCACGAAUUUGAGGGAAAAUUGGUACGAAUUAGUACACAUUUCUGUGAAUUCUAUUGGUUCUUGAGGAUUAUUCCUUUUUCCGAAUUUCCAUUGAUUAAACCCAUUAAAUUUUCUUCAAAAAGUUCCAAAAAUCAGUACUAGAAUGAGGUAUAUCCUCAUUCAAAAUUCGAAUUCACCCAAUUAAAAUUCCACAAAUUACCCCUAAAAAUCCUUUGUCCCACAUCGGUGAAAGCUAAAAAUUCCUCCCAUUUUGUUUUCAAUAAAUAGUUCAUUGUGGAGCAAAUUAAGGACAAGUCUCAGGGUUUGGAAAAAGCUUUGAGCAAAAAGAAUUCAAAUUUUCGUGAAAUAUUUUCUUUUUGUUGAAAAUCGUGGGCUAAUCAAAGUUCUCGAGUUGACGGCAAUAUUUUUUAAUGGUGGCUGUGACUUCGACGGAAGCCCAAAGACCUGUUUUGCUGCCCCGAAAUAGGCAAAUUUUGGGAGAACACUCUCUAGUUCUUCUCUCAAAAGUGGGAAGUAGCAAAUGAAACAAAGUUUCAUCAUAUUCGAUCUUCAUCACUAAGAUCCUUCUGCCGGCAACUUUAGAUAAGUAUAUUUUGCUUGGAUCAUUUUAAUUUUUUUCCUUUUUUCUCUCUGGUUGCUCGACUUAUUCUUAAGUUUUCAUCUUUAAUGUUUUCUUUCUUAUUUGACAUCAUGAGUAUGUUGCUCAUGAGGUUUGUUUAGUUUAAUUCUCAACUCUAGUGUAUGUCUUAGUGCUUUUUCUUGUUCUUGUAUGUUAAUGCUUUGGUAUCUUUAUAAAAGUUUGUAUCUUGUUGCACCCCAUUUCACAAGAAACUUUCUGAAAUUUUUCUUUCAAAUUCACUCGAGAUGUCUUCUCGCGGUUUCAUUUAUUUUCUUUGUGAUGCUUUGAUCGACUUUAAGGGCUAUAAUGAACACAUUUUAGGAUUUGAUGAUUCUCCCUAGUUCAUAAUGUUAAAGAAAGAAUUGAUGGAGCCUUGGAGAUAGGCAAUGUAAUCUCACAUGCUUCUCUUCUUUUAUCCCCAAAUCUUUGUUUGCAAGUUUGUGUUUUCUUAUCAUUCUUAUCCCUGCUCACUAAGCCUCCCUCCAUGAAGUUAGUAUUGGACAUGUCUAUUCUUUAAAAUCGGUCUAUACGUUUUUAGGUAUUGAUGAUAGCUAUAAUUGCAUGACUUUACUAUGUCAAACAUGCCCAUUUUCUUUGGCCUUUCUAUAUCUUGGCUUACUGUCUUUCAUUUUUAUUUUUAUUUUGGACCAUAAUAGUUUCCUUUUGAUUUAUCAUUUUGUUAUAUUACUCCAUUAUGCAUGCAUCUUAACUUUCUUUAUGUCUUCUUUUGUAUGCGAAUUUGUUCGAAGUCCAAAUGGACUCUUCUCCUUUGGCAUUCCAUAAUGAGCCAAAUGAGGCCCAUCCCUUAUAGCUGAUCACUUUGGAUAAAAGAGUCUGUUGCUGUGGAAGAAGAAAAAUUGGUCGAAACCCAUUGAUGAAGUCGUUAAAUUUAUAUUGUUGUUUUUAUUUAUUUAUUCAUUCAUUUGGACUUCAAAAUCAAAGUUGUAAAUUAAUAUAAGUAAAGCGGUUAUGGGCUGAAAGCCCAAAGUACUAGUUUAGGACUGGUGCAAGUGGGCCAAAAGUCCAAUCGAAUAGUUUAGAACAGGUUCAUAGAUUUGGGUCCAAAUGGGUUUAGAUAUCUCAAUCUCUUCCCUCCA